GAUGAACGCUGGCGGCGUGCCUAAUACAUGCAAGUAGAACGCUGAAGGGAGGAGCUUGCUCUUUCCGGAUGAGUUGCGAACGGGUGAGUAACGCGUAGGUAACCUGCCUGGUAGCGGGGGAUAACUAUUGGAAACGAUAGCUAAUACCGCAUAACAGUAGAUGUUGCAUGAUAUCUACUUAAAAGGUGCAAUUGCACCACUACCAGAUGGACCUGCGUUGUAUUAGCUAGUUGGUGAGGUAACGGCUCACCAAGGCGACGAUACAUAGCCGACCUGAGAGGGUGAUCGGCCACACUGGGACUGAGACACGGCCCAGACUCCUACGGGAGGCAGCAGUAGGGAAUCUUCGGCAAUGGACGGAAGUCUGACCGAGCAACGCCGCGUGAGUGAAGAAGGUUUUCGGAUCGUAAAGCUCUGUUGUAAGAGAAGAACGAGUGUGAGAGUGGAAAGUUCACACUGUGACGGUAUCUUACCAGAAAGGGACGGCUAACUACGU
rnacentral:rRNA from 1 species